GCUUCGUAAACUCGCAAAGCGAAGAAAAAUUGUCAAGUGUUUCCUGAAGGCUUCUCCUCCAAUGCAGAGUUCUGUCUCCGCUGAUUGUAUCCUGCGUCUCUCUCCUCAUUCCCCAUCCUCACUUGCUCCCGAGAAGGUUCCCAAUCUACUUCCACUGAGGCACGGCCAAUGAGUGGCCAGGACAUGAAGGCAGAGCAGAGUCCACCUGAGUCACGGCAGUGGCUGCCCAGCUGACUCUUGAAGCCACAGGUAGAGCACUUGCAAAUGUCCCUCCAGGGACUCAGCACGGCACAACGCCAGGCUGCAGAGAGCCUGUGAUGCUUCUCGCUCUGGCCUGGCAAGACCUCUGGGAAAGUCACACCCAUCUUUGGGAAAAACCUCAGAUCUCUGUGUUUUGUCCCCACCUGGUGGCUGCACAUCCAUGGGAGUCUCACAGAGAUUUCAGAAAUGGGGCCGUGGGCUGUGCUGUCUGCCUGUGACUCACCAUUUUCCUCCUUGUCCCCCGGGGUCCUGUCCCAGGGCCGCUGCCAGAGUCAAGGCCAGGACUGGAGAAGACUUUGCAGACCCUCUCCGUCUCCUGCUCUGUCUCUGGAAUCUCCUUCAUCAGCAGUUACUUUCGGGCCUGAAUCCGGCAGCCUCCAGGAAGGGGCUGGAGUGGAUGGGCUGCCUCGGCUCCAGUGGUGGCUCACGCCUCGCCUCAGCCCAUCCUUUCAGAGCCGACUCUCCAUCUUCAAAGACACAUUUGUGAACCUGCAGCUGAGCUCUGUGUCCACUGAGGACACAGCCUUGUAUUACUGUGCGAGACUCACAGAAACACACAGAGAGGGCAAGUCAGUGUGAGCCCAGACACAAGCGUCCCUGCAGGGAGAUUGGAGGGGCUGGGAUGCCGGGGAUACUCAGGACCAGAGAGUAUGGGGACCAGCUCGGGAGCAGGAGACAUGGCAACAUAUGUCACAAAUUGGGAGAGGCCUUGGGCAGUGACUGGAAGUAUGUAACUGCAGCACCAGGAACCAAUUACCUCAGGCAGUAGUGAAAAUGGGCCAGUCUUCUCUCGUCUGCCUCUGUUGAAUGAAGCACACAAGUGCUUUAAUCCAUUGAUAUUAAACAAAUAAAUAGCCCUUUUUUUCCC
ensembl:lncRNA